rnacentral:rRNA from 1 species
AACGAACGCUGGCGGCAGGCUUAACACAUGCAAGUCGAACGCCCGUAGCAAUACGGGAGUGGCGGACGGGUGAGUAACGCAUGGGAACGUACCCUGAGGUACGGAAUAACCGAGGGAAACUUCGGCUAAUACCGUAUGAGCCCCGCAAGGGGGAAAGAUUUAUCGCCUUGGGAGCGGCCCGCGUCGGAUUAGCUAGUUGGUGGGGUAACGGCCUACCAAGGCUUCGAUCCGUAGCUGGUCUGAGAGGACGAUCAGCCACACUGGGACUGAGACACGGCCCAGACUCCUACGGGAGGCAGCAGUGGGGAAUCUUGCGCAAUGGGGGCAACCCUGACGCAGCCAUGCCGCGUGAACGAUGAAGGCCUUAGGGUUGUAAAGUUCUUUUACCCGUGACGAUGAUGACGGUAACGGGGGAAUAAGCUCCGGCUAACUUCGUG